GACGAACGCUGGCGGCGUGCUUAACACAUGCAAGUCGAACGGAAAGGCCCUGCUUUUGUGGGGUGCUCGAGUGGCGAACGGGUGAGUAACACGUGAGUAACCUGCCCUUGACUUUGGGAUAACUUCAGGAAACUGGGGCUACUACCGGAUAGCAGCUCCUGCUGCAUGGUGGGGGUUGGAACGUUUCGGCGGUUGGGGAUGGACUCGCGGCUUAUCAGCUUGUUGGUGGGGUAGUGGCUUACCAAGGCUUUGACGGGUAGCCGGCCUGAGAGGGUGACCGGCCACAAUGGGACUGAGAGACGGCCCAGACUCCUACGGGAGGCAGCAGUGGGGAAUAUUGCACAAUGGGCGGAAGCCUGAGGCAGCAACGCAGCGUGCGGGAAGACGGUCUUCGGGUUGUAAACCGCUUUCGCCUGUGACGAAGCGUGAGUGACGGUAAUGGGUAAAGAAGCACCGGCUAACUACGUG
rnacentral:rRNA from 1 species